rnacentral:rRNA from 1 species
UCCAGACUCCUACGGGAGGCAGCAGUGGGGAAUAUUGGACAAUGGGGGGAACCCUGAUCCAGCGACGCCGCGUGAGUGAAGAAGUAUUUCGGUAUGUAAAGCUCUAUCAGCAGGGAAGAAAGAAAUGACGGUACCUGACUAAGAAGCCCCGGCUAACUACGUGCCAGCAGCCGCGGUAAUACGUAGGGGGCAAGCGUUAUCCGGAUUUACUGGGUGUAAAGGGAGCGUAGACGGCGAUGCAAGCCAGAUGUGAAAGCCCGGGGCUCAACCCCGGGACUGCAUUUGGAACUGUGUGGCUGGAGUGUCGGAGAGGCAGGCGGAAUUCCUAGUGUAGCGGUGAAAUGCGUAGAUAUUAGGAGGAACACCAGUGGCGAAGGCGGCCUGCUGGACGAUGACUGACGUUGAGGCUCGAAAGCGUGGGGAGCAAACAGGAUUAGAUACCCCAGUACUC